ensembl:lncRNA
CAGAGAUCCACCAAGCUCAUUGUGAGAAAGCCCUGUUUCUUGGGAUAGCAUCAUGCAAUGAUACAGGUCCCUAUGAAGUUAUGCACAAUGCAAUUGAAGAGGCAUGUUAUGUCAGGCAAGAAAGAAGCUGAAGAGCUAUACUGCCUUGAGGAAGAAAGUGUAUCUACUGUGAAUUACAGACAGGAAAGAGGAUAUUCUCAGUUAAGUUCUCUCCACAUGAAAAAGUUUCAUUUGUCAGAAAUGACAGUGUCAGUAAAUAGGAUUCAAUUUCACAUUUGUUGUGUCAACAGUCCUGCUUCUCAAAUCAUUUCUAAGUACAUUAUUCCACUCUUGAAGAAAAAGCUUUUUCUUUCUUCUUUUUCUGCUUUUUUUUUUCAUAGUUGCUAGUCAUGGUUACAAUGCAUUUCCUGAUCUGAAAAUAUGUAUUUAAUAAUAAUGUUUGGCCUUCAACCACACAAGUUGUGAAAAAGAAAGUUCUCUUUCAUAGUCAACUACAGGCACUGUUGUUUAGUUUUUAUUCCAAUUCUUCUUAUUUGUAGAGGUAUUUACUCAUUAAAAUGUGCCAAUUAUAAUAGAGACAAUGGAAGAAAACCUGAAUGUAUAUAGGGAAGCAAAGUUCUCGAGGCCUUGAAAUUUUGCAUACUAAAAAGCAUUUAUAUCUACCUUUGGAAAAAAAAGUCAACGGACUACUGGUUAUUUUCAGGUAUUUUAGAAGAUACCAAAUAAGAGCAUUGAUUUUCCUGUGUCAAAUAGUCAGAGUUUCAGAUGAUAUCAAGAAUUACUACUACUCCUAUGCUUAGUAAUACAAGUCUAUGUAAUAGGGGUGGUUUUGAGGAGCAGUAGUAUUAGCCAUUCCAUGGGUACUUGGUCAGUGAGGUACAACUAUUAAUGUUUAGUCAUGUUAGUUUGACAUGAGAUGGAGUGCAGGACCUAUGAUUUCUUUAUGAGCAGCUGGAAUGGAAAUUUAUAAUGCAAUACUCAUUUUGGCAUGUUAUUACAACCAUCAGUAAUUCUCCCCCUCAUGGCCAACAAAUUGUUGUCUGCCAACCACGGCAGCCAGUCUGAAAUAAGUCACCAAAUGAGCGUCAAUCAUAUUAACACAACUGAGGCUUGAAAUCAACCUUUAGGGACAGGCAGCAAAUAUUCUAAAACUAGAUGAACAAAAGGAAACCUUUGCCUCCAGUUAAGGGAGUAGGAGCUCUGCCAAACUUUCUGCCACUAGAAAUCACUCCCAGCGUAUUUCUGCUUCUAGCUGCUAUUAUUCAUCUUCUCCAGGAACCCCUUGGAAUGGCACAGGCACUGUGGAGCAGGAGGUAAGACAGAUGGCUAAAACAUCUUCUCCUGUCACGUCAAAUCCAAGCCUUACAGCAGUGCAGGAACACAUGGGACCUUUUUGUUCCUUCUGUUUAUCUCUGAUGGACACUCUGUACUAUAAAUCAAUUCCCAGAGCAAGAAAUGAAAAAUGAGCAAUUAGGCAGCCUACUUCAGCGCUCUGCAUUCCCGCCAUUGUCCAUCUAGUCUCAUGUUAAGCAAUUAAUAUAAGAGAAACUAUUACACAAAACAUCUGUAGUAACCCUGCUUUUUUUUUUUUAAUUUUUUUGUUUUGUUUGUUUUUUAAAAAAAGCUAUCAAAGGUGAUUUCUGGCACACGGUGUCUUCCUUCUCCAUGCUUAAACUUUGCACUUGCAUGGCAGCGCUAUUCUAACGGCUUGAAUUCCUCAUUCAGUCAAUCUAGACACAUUUAGUUCACUUAAGCAACCAUUUCUAAUCAGACGGCAUACAUAAGUGGAAGAAACCUUCAGGGAGCAAAAUAGCUGCAGCAGACAACACAGCAGUCACUAUAAGCUGUAUCACUAUCAACUUGCAAGAUCAAACUCUUGCAGGACUGCUGGCCAAUACCAAAGUACAAGAAGCAUGAUUCCUCCCAUUGCUGCCAAUUAUUCCUGUGUUCAAAUCCAAACAAGGAAUGUAACCAAAAACCAUUAUCAGACUCUACUCCCAAUCUCUGCACUUUUGCACAUGAUCCUUGGAAUAUUUUGAGUUAAGAUGGAGAAAUUAAGGCACAGACUUUGACAAGGGAAUGUGCCCAGCUCCUUUUGGACAUCUAAAACACAGAGAUUGCUUUGAAAUGGUCAUGCCUAAUCUGCUUAUUUUCAUAGAAACCAGAUAUUAUUAAAAUAACUUUUUCACCGCAACAAUAAAACCCCCCAGGCUCAGAACAUACAUUAGACAGCCUCAAGAGGGCAGCGCAGUAUUUCAUGAAUCAUUUUAUACAAAGGUAAGCAUGCUUUAACAAACAGCAGGCUGUCAUGGCAGAGUAUGGUAGAAUCAUACAGUGGUUUGGGUGUAAAGAGCCUUAAAGACCUGGAUAAGAGGCAGACCCCCACCUUGCUACAACAUCUUUUCAGGGAGGUGUUGACAGCCAUAAGGUCUUCCCUGAGCCUCCUCUCCUCCUGACUGAACAGUCCCAGUUCCCUCAACUGCUCCCCAGAAGACUUGUGCUCGACACUUCACCAGCUUUGUUGCCCUUGCCUGAUCAUGCUCCAGGGCCUCUGUGUCUUUCUUGUACUGAAGAGCCCAAAAUUACACAGCGCUCGAGGUGCGGCCUCACCAGAGCUCAGUACAGGGACGAUCAUCUCCCCAGUUCUGCUGGCUGCACCAUUUCUGAUACAAACCAGGAUGCCAUUGGCUUUUUGGCCACCUGGGCACACUGCUGGCUCAUGUUCAACUAACUGUCAAACUAACACCUCCAAUCUUUUUCCUCUGUGCAGCUUUUCCAGCCACUCUACCUCAAGCCUCUAGAAAUUCAUAGGGGUUUUGAAAUCAAAGUGCAAGUCUCAGCACUUGGUCUCUUUAAAGCUCACACAGUUGGCCUCAGCCCAUUGAUCCAAACUGCCGAGAUUCCUCUGGAUUAGGGCCUUCCUACCCCCCCAGCAGGUUGACACUUCCUCCCAACUUGAUGUCAUCUGCAAACUUACUUAGGGUAUACUCAAUCCCCCGUGCACCCUCAGAGCAUAGAAUUAAGAUCACUGUAAACAGUAUCAUAAAUAAAUAAGAAAAAAAUGAGAGAAGCUGAUGGCAGUAACAUUAGCUCCCCUGUUUUGUUCUUGUUCAUGUAGCACCUCAUGACACUUAGUAGCAGAUGAUGCAGGGUUACCAAUGUAAGUCCCAUAUGCUGUAGCAGCCACAUUGCUUAUCCUUACUUAAUCAACAUCUGUGAGCAACUAGUUCAAAACUUUCAUAGUUUCUAGGGGCUGCAAUACUGAAAUUCUUGGCUGCAGUUGGUAAUAAUUCUGCUCAUGUUUUCAAAUGGUACAAAGAAACUUAGGUUUAUAGCAACACUAAUUGCAAACUGACCUCACGACUAUUUGAGUACAAUUGCCCUGUAUGGCAUUGCAUCAUAUCACCCUUUCAUAGAAAUAUUACACUCCAUCCUGAGAUAAGAUCAUUUUCCCCUACCACUACUUCAUUCGGAAGACUGUUUCAGAAAUUCUCUAAAGAACCUUAUGUAAAAUUCUAUUGCAGAGUUAUUCUUAGCCAAUUUAUGUUUUGGUUCCUGUGCCAACAUUAUCUGCUAGCUUCAGCACUGCCUCUCUUUUGCUUAAUUAAAUGUGCUUUUGUCUUUAAUGCUAUAGCCAAGCACUCCCAGUCCUUGAUCAUCUCAGCAGGACUUCUCUCUGCCUGUUCCCCUUUUAAAUUCCUUCCUUGAGCACGGAUGAUAGAUAAAAUUAUAUUCCAGAUGAACAGCCCACAGUAGCCUUAAAAUUUCUUGAGAUCUAUAGGAAAGUCCUCGUGACAACACAUAUGCACAUAUGCAUUUCAUAGCACGGGUGGGUUAGGGAUGGCAACACUGACAUGCACUCUGGAGACCUGCAUGAACAAUAAACUGAGCUGUUAGCUGCAGGUACAGCCUCAUAUUCUGUUACUGCUGUAUAAAAAUGUUUAAGUCAAAAAAGCCCCUGUCUGAGGUACCCCAUGUUUGAAUGGUUAUAAUACUCAUCUAUGCAACUAUAUAACUAAUAUCACAGCUAUAAAUUGAUAUAGAAAUCUAACAGAAACCAUAUAUCUUAAUAUAUUUUCCAGCUCACUGAAGUAGUACAUCUGCCACAAUCACAGUGAGGCAUCAAGGUUAGUUAAGAGCUUUGACUAAGCAAAUUUAAUUGAACAGAGAUUACUGACAAUAUAUUUAUUACCUGCUGCCAGGCAGAUAUACUGUGUUUUACCUUAUUACAAUUGUAAAUAGCAAACAUAAAACAUUAGAAAAAUAUGUAUUAAAAAGCCAAAGAAACAACAACCAAAAAGAACAAGUAUAACAAACCUGGAUCAUCUUUAUUUCAAGCAACAUAACUCCUACUCUGACCUUGCUAUGGAUUCUACAUAUUAAAAACACUGGGCUUUAUUAGAAGCCACUGCAAAAUUAUUUUCACUUCCAUGUCAUCAGGUAACAUCAGGCCACAUUAAAUGAUGAGACAGUAAUGCUUACAUUCCAGCUAACACUGUGUAUAAAAUGCUAAUUUUAAUUAUCAUACCAAACUGGGGUAAAAGUCAGAAAGUUCCUAAGAAAUUCACUCUUCAUAGAAUGUAGCUUUCAAAAUGUUUGUAUCUGAAUUCCAGAAAAUUGUUUCAACAAGUAAUGAAUUUUAAUGCUGAUACUGUUGUUACUGUGUUUUCUCAACUUCUUUACAUAGUACUGAUAUUUAAGAAUCACAGAAUGGUUUGGGAUAGAAGGGACCUCCUCAUCUAGUUCAGCCCCCUGCUGCAGAAGGGUCCCCUAGAGCAGGCUGCCAAGGACCACACUCCAAACAACUUCUCAAUAGCUACAGGGAUGGAGAUUCCGUAUACUGGUUUAUCAGUUCUUUUUUAUUUUUCCAUUGGAUUUUCUAAAAUAAAAUCUCUCUCACUCCAAAAGAACUCCUUCUUGAACUGUUCUUGUUAAUUAAAGAGGAGCUUAUCUAAGAACAUUUUUAUGAUCUCUGCUUCUCACCAUCCUCCUCACAAUUGCAGUACAUCACACAAUCCAAACUGUUUUCUAACACCCAUGUUAUUCUCAAACCAAAGGAUAUUUUGUUUGCACUGGCUGACUUCUGACAACACUGAACACUGGACGUUUUAUCAUCUAAAAAGCCGAAUUCCUACUCUGAUAACAAAAGUAACAUCUGCUUUAAAAACAACAACAAAAAGCAAAAUUAAGAACACCCCAGAUAAUUUGACUAAAAUGUAUACUCUAAUCCAGUGCUUCCUAAUCCAAGUGGGCUCUGCAAUUGCAGAAUUCCUAUUAAUUUAAAAAUAGGAAAUCUAGAUGCUGGGAUCUCUGGUUCUUUCUGGCAAUGUUUUGUGCUGCUGCUUGCUCUAACGUACGGCCUGUACAGAAGCAACCUACUGCCCUCUUGACAUUUAGUACACCAUCUUCUCUCAGAAUUCCAACUCAGAGCUUUGGCUGUAAAGAAAGCUUCUACUAACUUUUUUUUUUUCCUAGCAGAUCUCUGUUUCAUCUACCCAGGUACCUAGCAAUAGUCAAUUACAUAAAGAAAGGAGACAAGAUAGGAUCUCUUUUGCAUGUAUGCAAUUAUAUUAUGGUAGUAAGAAAGCAUAGGAGUGAGAUACUCAGUAGUGGAUGCUGUGAUUAUAUAAGCCACCCGCACAGCACCAGCUUAGUCCCGCUGUUCUUUCACUCCCCAACCUCUCUUUGGUGAGAUUCAGGGUAUGUUUUAUGUUUGACAAAGCAGGGACAGAGAGUGUGUCAAGAGGCAAGUUUGGGCUCCCUGAAUCUCAGUCCCCAAUACCCAACCCUAGAAAACAUUAAGGAAGAUAGAAAUCUGCUUUGACACUUGCCAGAUGUCAAAGCUUAGAACUAUACCACCUGAAAAGAAAUAGCAGAAAGACACAGCUCUAGUUAUAUUUUUCUCCAUCCCCAGUGAACAUGCUAUGCCAAGAUUAGUGUUUUCUGGGGACUGGAUAUACACUGAGCCUUCUCAGCUGGAAAGCCAUAAGUAUUUUCUGGUCGGCUUGUACUGUUUCAAAGCCACCCUGGAAGCAGAGCAUAGCCAGAUAGGCCCUUGUGUUCAUGUUUCAUUCCAAGUGCCUGGAAUAUACAUCCCUCCCCUCAACCCCAAGCUUAUGUAACUGGAUGGCUCACUUUGUUAGCAGCAUUGCAUUAUUUAUUAUCUUGAGAAAAUCAGCAUCACUAGGUCUAAAAUUCACUGGAAAAGAAUUAAGUGAGCCAACAAGUAAAGCUUUUCACACUUACAUAGAUAUUAUGCUCCUUUCCUAAUAUAUCUAAAUAUGCUGUGAUCCAAAUGUUCAGCAAAAUCUGGUGCCUGUUAGCUUCUGUUAAAAUCUUCAUGGAACAAUUAACUAAUAAACAAAAGGCUUAUAUAUAAUGAACAACAUAUUUGGCUGGAGAGUGAAAAAGAUUAUAAACAGCUUUUGUACCCUGUCCUCUAAAGUCUGAAAACAGACUGUCAGCCCCAAACACUCCAGUUACGAGAACACAUUGGAAAGGAGAUGGAGAAAGGUAGGCUCAAAACAAAUCAAGAUCAUAAGGCAAAAUACAGAGUUACAAAAAUGAUGUUGGAGUCUUGUUUCCUAACAUGUGUUAAGAUUUCUAUCAUUGCUGAUGUUAAUAAUUGACAUGAAAUACAGAGAGAGUUAGAUAACAGCAGGAACGCUCAGGCCAGGAACCCAUUUCAUUUUCUAGUGGUGUGAGGCACAGGGUAAGGGGGAAAUACACAGUGUCAUGACAGAGAUGCUCUUGCUUCACCGUGUUACUCUCAAGGUAUUUUGUAUUGUCUAGAAAGAGGAUUCUGGUUGUGGCAGGGAACGGGAAAAAGAACAAGAUGUGAAUUUAGUGUUUGUGGAAGUGAGAAUUAAUAGCAAAACCUUGAGCUGGGUAUAAGCUCUGCAGGUAUUGUGCAAGCCUCUUCACACAGCACUGCCAUCUCACCCCAAUUUAUGACCUGGAACAUAGAAAAUUUUACUGCUUUUAGCUGGGACUGCAAGUUGUACCAAAGCAUACAAUGAUUUCAUAAAUCCAAGGGAAAGAGGUGAAAGCUCCAAGUUUCUUUAGGUCUUUUGCCUAGCUCAGGUGCAGCCUGGAGAAAAUGUGAUGGCACACUGAAGCAUCUGAGCCUGCAGAUCACAGUGCCAACAUUUGAAUGCAGGGGUUAAAUACAGUGAUUCAGUAUUCCCUAACUCAGAGUGCAUGAGCAAGCCAGGAUUUGUAGCACAAGCAAAUACAGGUAAACGAGUAGGAAUGGCUUCAGAAUGGCUGCAGUUUACACUUUCAGGUAGGUAGACUAUAUCUUGAUUUUUUACCACCAUACCUGACAGGAAUAACAUUUUUAUCUUUCACAGAGUUCCAGAAAAUCUCAGCCAGCAUGGGCUGCUGAGAUCAGUGGGCUCAUUGUCCAGCUAGCUGGCCCCAAGAAUUCACCAGGGAGAGGGAGUUCAGACUUUCACUUCUCUUCACACUGUAAGAGUCCCUGCAUUCUGGUUCAUACCACCAAAAGCCAGCUUUAACCAGAGGUGAAUCUACUACAUGAUAUAACAAACGGCUAUUGCUCUUAUUUGCCCUGUAUGUUCUUAUCUCACAGUUCACAAUUAAUCACCACCCUGGAAAUCAAACACUGAAGUAUUUGUACAUUCUCUUUUAAAAUACAUUUCAAUUUCCUUUUAGUUGAACUGCCCUGUCCUUCGCCACACCUGCUCAAUGCACCAUUCUGCAUAGCACACUCUGUACAUACCUGGAGAGACUGAUGAGUCACACCAGACAGGGAACUUAAUCACCAUAGAAAGAAUAUGAGAUCAAAAAGUGUGAUGCAAUUGGAGUAUAGAGGGAUGUCUGUUCAUUAGGAAUAAUCACAUUUGCAAGUUGAUGAUACUUACAGCACCUCACGACUAAGGACUAGGUUCUGCUCUCAGUAACUUUAGUUUGUGAUGGCUGAAAUCUAGCUUACUCUUCUACUUGGAGACACUUCCCUCUUUGCAGAGAUAAUAAUUGAGAGAGGCUGAUUUUAUGGGAACAGCAGUACAGAUGAAUUGGUCUCCUAUCUAACAUUUAUAGGGAAGGUUGCCUUGGUAUCAGCAUAGAUCACAGGUACAGUUGGUUUCUCUGAAUUGCCAUUAAGCUCAGAGUACUCAUCAGGUUUUAGAACAAACACAUUAGAUUCCCAAGCCAUCACUGUCCCUCAUCAUACAACCUCUAAAGGAUUGCUCUGCUAUCUUUCUCAGUUUGUGAUGUGAUAUCAUUUGUUUGCAGGUACUGAAAUGGUUUUGCCACUCUGUAAUGUAUUCCACUAUGAAUUAAUAAGUUAUAUUUUACAAACAUGCAGAUGGCUCUGGAGAUUGUUAUGUUUCUAUGUGUCUACAGUCAUAUUACUGUGGCAAAUGCUCUCUGUAUAUUUGUUUAAAAGAAAACAAUUUCCAUACAGAGAAGCCUAAAACUAUCUAGUAGUGCUGAAAGCAAGACUCUAGGUGUUACAGACCUUGAAAUUGAUUCAGUGGAAUUCUUGUCACAAAUGCAAAGUCAGGUCCAGCCCAUUAUCUCCUUGGGUGAUUGCUACCAAACUUUCAAGAAUAUAGUUUUAGCAAUACCAGUGCUGAGAAAGAUCAGCUUCUUACAGUGUUAUGAACUGACCUUAGCCAGAAAUUGUUGAGCACAACUUGUAUGGGGAUGGUGUACCCACAGUGUUUCUCUGCAGUCUGGACCCUGUGACAUCCGGAUGGAGAAAGUGCAAUCUUUCUCUACAAAGAGACACUAUUGUACACAACUUUCUCCUCUCUCCUAAAGGUAGAACUAACCAAUAAUAUUGAGAACUGAAAAAGACAACAUGUGGAAGAGAGAGACACCACGAUCAAAUAAACCCUGUUUUCAUAGGAAAUGAGGCUACUGUAGUGGUAGGAAAUACCACAUAUCCUCAGAACUAAUACAGAUACUGAGCUCUGGGACUGCUGAACUUAGAUUAUGAAGGAAGGAAAAUGAACUAAUACUUUAUUCAAAGUUUUACUGGCAGCUCAUCUGUUCUGAUGAUUUAACUGUUGUUUACACUGAAACCAACAUGCAAGAAGAUUAUAGCCUGUGACUUCCAAGGGAGCAUGCUGUGGAAUUUUUGCAUUCUGCACAGUGUUGUGGGUUAGCAACCACUCCUGUGUGCUAACACAGAUCGCUUCAAUCCCUUGUGUUUAUCCUGUAAACAAGAAAGUGCUCCACACUGUUGUCCUAAAGAAAAUAGCUGAAAUCUGAAGCAGCUUGGUCCUGUUUAAGCUGUCCCCAGACACCCUGCCUACAACGCGGGUUUGUUUUUCAUUUAUUUGUUAAUGAAAACUGGCAGCAGAUGCCACACUUUUAUUGAACAUAUUAAUCAUUGAAAGAAAACAAUAUUUCUGCUGCUCUGGCAACUCCUGCACUAUGGGUAAAUAGGGCCUACUGCCUUCCUGUUAACCCUGUACGUAAUGUAGAAUCCCCUAAAGCUUGGGGGUGUUAUGCUAUAGUAUACUUCUGCUGUAAGAAACGAUGCUUAAAUGUGGAUUCAAGUAAGAUCUGUAACCAUCAAAUUGGCUUCUGAUUCAAAAUUCAACUUGCAGUAAUAAGAAAUAUAUGACAAGUGCUUGAAUGCCUGUGAGAAAUAAGAAUGCAGCCUUUAUCCAGCUGCUAGUUUUCACAGAAUAGUAAUAAGAAAAAGAACAGUUUAACACUACCAAUUCUUGUCAUUCACAGUGCUAAAAUAAACAGUAUGUGCUCAAUGCCUGUAAGGCACUAGGGAAUGGCUGCUGCAUAUGCCACAUAUUUCAUUCAUAAAUUUAUGGCUACUAGCACAUUUAUUUACUCAUAUUAUUAAAGGAUAACAUAACUGGAGGUGUAGGUGCACAAGCUACCAUAGAUAGAAUCAGCCCCUAAGCAAGCCUCUUCUCCUCCUCACUUCUCAUUCAUUGGUUAAAUUACUAAAGGUUCUCUUGGGGUAACUUUUCUCUUGAGAGCAAGCUACCCUGCAUACUUUGUUUUGAUAAAGAACAGCUUAGGUAGUUUUGUACCUAAGAGCUCCAAACAUUUAGCUUCAUUACACUUCUGCUGAUUUGUGCCAUGCAGCAGUUACAGCACCCUCCCUACCUGUGUCAACCCAGCCAGAAGAUAGGAUGGCACCAUUUAGAUGGGCUAAGAAAUCUUAAACUACUGCUAACAAGUACAACCUAUUCUUUUCAGCAAAGUUGCACUAAUGCAGAUGAUAAUCAUACCCUCUGUGUUCUCUUAUUCCCACAUUCAAAGCUUCUGAGGAAGCAAGGCAAACCAGAGAAGUGCAGUUCACAUAGCUAUGGAGGUACCAAUCAAAGACCAAAUGAAUCUUAGAGUACAAACCUGAAAAAUAUUGUACUCAUCAAAAAACCUGAUACUCGUAUGUAGUUUCUAUAUUUCCUACAGUGGAAAAAAAAUCCCUGAAGUUGAUCAAUUAAACUCAGUGGAAACAUCAAGAAAAAACUGUAAUCUUCCCGGUGCCUCGGUUACAAUGUACACUUGGUUACACAGAAGCACACACACCACUGAUGACCAAGUCAUCUGUGCUUCAAAAUUAUAGGAAAUUAUUCUGAGUAUAUCGAAGGAGAUGACAAGAUGUCCCUGGGGGUGGUCCGUACAUUCUUGUCUACAAAGAACAAAUUACCAUGGAAAACAUUUUAAUACAGAAUAUUUUACCAUAAUUAAUUAAGCAUUACUUUUCUCCUAUAAGACUAGCUGCUAAAUUCUUUUGUCAAGUCAGCCCUAGGAAGAAUCGUUUAAAUGCAUGUCUUCAUUUGUCUCUAUAAUCAAUUCAGUGCCAGUUAUAAAUAUGCCAAGUAAAUUAGUUUUACUUUGCUCUAUGUGAGACCAGGUCUCAGCUGUAUCCAGUGUUUUCCACAUAUCCUCCUUCUUUGUCCAGAUGUGAAUACAGUAGCAGAGAAUACCCUGGGAUAAAAAAUAGUGGCAGGAGGCACUGCAACGGAACAGUUUUAUGGGCACUCACACAGUUCUCCUGGUACUUACAGCGAGGACAUAUUUCAGUUUCUCAUUUUGGACAUCCUGGCAAUAGAUUUCCUCUCAUAUGGGAAAUUCAGAACUUGUUAAUUUUAACUGGUAAUUCAGUUCAAAUCUCUCCAGCAGAUACUGCAUUUUCCAUCCUGAAACAGGUGUUUUCUAGUGAGAACUGGGCUCACUCUGGCUUGGACGGGCGUUAAUACAAACUUGUGUACAGUCUCAACAUUCAUAAUUCUUCAUGUUAUAUCUUCUAGCUUUCCUCCAUCCUGCAGGUUCACCCUAAGGGUGUAAGUUUAUUGUCAACAGUAUUUAUUAAAUUAAAGACAGUGACAGCUGCAGUUCCUACAAUAAUAGUAAUUAAGGUUUUUUUCUUUCUACAUGAGUUUGAUUAUAGCAGAAUGAAUACAAAUGCUAGAAUAGCAGUUCUCUUCCUUAUUAGUUCUUAUGAUCUACAUCAUAUGAAAAUAGUUAUGAGUUAUUUGAGAGCAAUUCCUUAACAAUUCUUAAACCAAUUUUCUGGCAUUUGCUAGUGAAACCAACUGUUCACACGAGAUCACAAAAAUUCUACUAUUUUUCUCCCAGUUUGUUACCUGAAAUGCUUUAAAGUACUUACGGAAAAGGGCCAAUGAAUGAGAUUUCAGACUAACAAAAGUUGUUCAAAACCCCAAUGCAAUCACGACACUGUGCCUGCUGUAGCUUUAUUUGCUUGUCUAAAGAGGGCAGAUCUAUUGUUGGUACGAGUUAAUAUUACUACUGUACCUCAAGCAGCAAAACUUAGAAAUAUUUGAGUAUUCUUCUCACUUCAAGAGUUUGGAUGCAAAAUUUGACAUGCCUUAUAGGACACUGGUCGCUGGAAGGUUGCUUACCCAGUGUGUCUUAAGCAAGGAAUUGCAACUCAUGGCAUUUAUCUAUCUCUAUAUUUAUAUCCUGUUUUUCAAUACUCAAAGUCCUGGCCUCAGUAUUUAGCUGAUUCUCAUAAUGUUAGCUCUACUACUGCUACAGCUCCUAGGGUGAUCUGAGUUCUAAAUUUUUGUUUUUGUCUUUCAGAUAUCUGGAAAGACUAUGAAAUUCAGAAUUGAGAUGAAAACUAUGUGAUAAAUAGAAAAAAAUAACAGAGGAGCUCACCUCCAAGCACUACACUUUUGAAUAGCAUUUUCUGAAGUAAUAACUUGUUUUUCUCACCUAAAAAGACCUAAUUGUAGAGAAAGAAAAAACCAAACAAGAGUGAAAUAAGGAGCUUACCACCCUCCGAGUAAAGAAUUUCUUCCUUACAUCUAAUCUAACUCUACACUCCCCUAGUUUGUAGCUUUAGGGAUGUCCAUGACCUGUGAACACAGAGAACACACUUUCCAUACAUGGUACAUUUAAGUCCAUUAUAGUCAACAGAAUUUAUCCUUAGUAUAAACAGCCCGUGUUUGAGCUAAAAGAACAGGGCUAUUAAUUUUUGUUCAUGUUAGACAAGAAUUGGGAGAAAAUUUAAGCUUGGUUUCACCAGCUAACUGCAUGUAAGUACAUUUAUUCAUUUAUAAAAUGAACUGAUAACAAAAUUACUAAACAGAAAGCAAACCUAAUUAUUUUACAUUUGCCCUUGGAAAUCACAUCAGUCCUCUAACAUAUUCCGAAAAGGGGAAGUAAGAAGAGAGGUCAGUGAAGAGAAAGAGUGAAGUCAGAAUAUUCAUAACUUCUUCAAAUGAGCUUAGAAUAUGUUUUCUUUUCCAGAAAACAAAUAAUGGCUAAUUGUUUUUAAGCUCUUCUUUUAUUGUGUCUUUAUGCACUGUGUAUUUAGUUACUGCAGUUUGCUUAAAAAUUACAUCCUAGCUGAAAUGCUCUGUCUACUCUUAUGGUAGAUUUAUUUCAUUGUUCUUCCUUUCUUUUUUAGCUUUUACUUUGAUGCAGACAGAUGCAGCUGAAAAACUCUACCCUAUGAGGAAAUCAUUAAGUCCCUGGGCAACCUGAUCUAUCUGUGGUGUCCCUGUAUGUUGGAGGGGAGUUGGACUAGAUGGUCCUCAGAGGUCCCUUCCAACUCUAAGGAUUCCAUGAUUUGUAGUCAAGAUACAAAGUAGAUUGAUCAGUAGAUAUGUGGGAACUCAUGCUCCUAAGAGCUGCAUCUGCAGAACUGUUAGGUUAUCACCAUCCCCAGCCACUGGCAAGUUGUUCAAGUAGGAUAAUCCAACAGACUUUUGCAUGUCAAACUAAAAAAAAUCAAGCCAACAACAAAAUGAUGGAAUAAAAAUAGGAGUGAGGAAUUGCCAGGAUGAAAGUUUGUUAGCUAACCAGCACAAGCAUUUGCUUUCCUGCAGACCUCAUCCAUAGAAGCGGAAAGGGAACAUCCUGUUCUGCAGUAUUUCAUAAUGUAUGGCUGGGACAAAAUGCACAUCGGCACAGCAGGCUGAUAGUCCAGAGGAAGAAAUCUGUGCUUUUGUAAUGGUGUGCUUUGAUGCUGUUAGCAGCAGCAAUGACCAAUAAACUUCUGAAUGACGUUAAAGACAAACAGUGCUUCAAACCUUUUACACUACAAACCCAAGAAAACAGAGUGAAACAUCAAUUUGUAAUUAGAAUAUGUAUCAGAACAAAAAAUUAUGCAUAGCAUGGCACCAGAGGCCUGAAUUUCCUGCCAUCCACACUUGAAGAAGCAGAUAGUCUCAUUCUCUCUGAGUAUUUCACUAGAUUUGGAUGGUGACAUGCACAUCAGAGACUUUCUGUGUACAGAUGGAUUAAGAACAAUGAGUCAGCCUCUCUGCUUUAAUAAAGAAGAAACAAACUUAUAAAAACACCCCAAUGAUUUUUAGUAAAUCAGACAAGGUUAUACAAAUAAAAUACUAUAGCCAUGUGAUUUCAGUAAAGCCAAUUACGCCUAAAUAGCCACAAUGCAAAGGUGUUAGCUGUUCCUUCCUAGUUACUCAUUAUCCAAUCUUCAUUAAUCAUAAAAAAUGUCUUUACAUUAUUCUGGAUUCUAUAACCGCAAUCUCCCAAUCAGCGUUUUGCUCACGUGGCCUCGUUUCACCUGCUAUCCUCUCUUUCCUUGCUAAGAUAUUUUGCAAUAUCUUGUAGAUAUUCCAGUUUGAGUGGGAGUUUCAAAGCAGGGUAGUAGGCUAGUGCAGAUGGAACCUUUUCCAGGUUAAUCUGGAUGUUUUUGCUUUCUUCCCCACAUUCUAUGAUAAUUUUUUUACAUUUUAUAAUCAGUGAAGAUGAGUAGAGAAGCAUUUAAAUAUAUUUCAGUUGUUUCAAGGGCUGAUAAAUCAAACUAAGCAAAUGAAAAACCAAACUCCUCACGCAGAUUUUCCCCCCAUUUCCAGUUCUAAAUGAAAGACCUGUAUAGAUCAUUCGUAGUAAUAAAUGGAAAAUAUAAUAUUAAAAACACAAGAAUGAAAACUCAGUUUAUCCGGUGAUGCAAUUCCAUUCUGUCUGUAGCAGCUAGCACUCAAUGCCAGGUGUUAUGCAGAGAACAUAGAUGUGAAUGUACACCGAUUAAAAUAAUUAAAAACAAAUGCAGGAGUAGAAUCCACACAAACUGACAGUCUGAAAGCAAAUAACAAAUGCAUUCAUUACACAUGCUGUGGAUGCCAUUUUUUCUUUGUCUAUAUUCUGUUCACUGCAAUUGCUCUGCAGUUGUAUAUCCCUAUGAAAAUAAUGGUUAAUACUUAAGAAAGAGAAACAAUAGCUGGUAAAAUAACUGCUAAUUUCUUAGGCUUCGGGAUUAAAGAAAAAUAUUUCUCCAAAAAAGUUGUAUGUCUUACUUAUUAGACAUUGCAGACAUGAACACAUUAAAUUGAGACAGGUUAAAUGAUACAUCUAGGCCAGGUUAUGUUUAUUUGCAGAAAGUUCUACAAGCAAAAAUCAAAUGGGAAGAAUAAUCAGAGGAGCAUCCGUCAGAUCUUCCUCCCCCUGCCCCUCCACACUGAAAAAAAAAAGGAUGCAAGAAAGCAUAAUUCUGAAGAGCACUGCUGAAUACAAUCCAGGUCAGAAACUUCACACACCUGAACUAUUCCUUGCAGCCUCCUGGAAAAGUCAUUCAAGUCACCAUCACCACAACAGCUGGAGAAAUAGAUGCUUCAAGAUGGUUCAUCUUGAGAUGAAACCAUCUUAAAGACAGUGUCUAAACUUUGCCCUGUUACACAGCUGGAAGAACUGACUAUUCCCAUGUAGGACAAUUAAUUUAUUAAGAUUUUCACCAGUUUGAACCUGACUCAUCAACAUGAUCAACUUGCAUUGAUCACUAACAAUUUUAAGUUACAUCCAAGUAUAGUUCAGGUGGAGGUUGAAAUAAAACUGUGAGGCACAUAGUUACCGCAACUAAAAUGUAUUCCUCAAAUCCAGUAUCUGAAGUACAAAAAGUUUAAAGUGACUUCUCCCCCACACAGACAUGUUCCUCUUUGUCAGAAACAGCAAUGCCACAAGUCCACCCUCAAACACUGCUUAGACUAUCCUGCCUUUUUCCUCUACCACCACAGUGUUCUGCUGGCUGCUCUUAAACUUGCAGAUGAAUGGGCACAGAUAACGCGAUACUUAUCUCAUAGGCAGGAGUUCUAGCAAGCUGCUUUUCAGUGCCCAAAACAAACAGUCCUCUGUGGAUUGGUCAGCGGGACACUAUGGAGUAGAAAGCUAGUUUGCACCUUCCCUGUGUCCCAGUAUACCAAGGUUUAAGCUUCACUGAUUACAGUAUAGAGGCCUUAAUCAAGAUUUUUCAUGCCUCAGAGAACAGUACAGCUGCUAAACUUUCUUUAAUAAGUGUUUUAUAGUGGGGAAAUUGAACUAGGAAUUAGCUGAAAAGAAAUGACUCGUUUCUGCCCUAAUUAAGCAGCAGUUUAUUGUAACUCAAGCACUAAUGUUGUUUUGCUCUAACAUGAAAAAGAUGUUGGUAUAAGGGUUUGAUCAAAGUCACUGACUCUGUUCCAGUUGAUGGCUGCACUGUCUCUUGCAGCUUGCUUCAAAUUUAAGAAGCCAAACACACUGUUAGAAUUCUGAGAAGACUCCUACAUUCCUUAUUCCCCAUCAAGUAAAGCAGAUACAGCCAUCUGACUGCGUCAGAGUUACUGACACCAGUCCUUAUAAAGUCACCUUGAGAUUUCACGGCUAUUGUAUUUUAAAUGAAAUUAAUCUCCUAUUACCUGAAAAGCUCAUGUUGGCAAUGUCAACAGAAUACUCUUUUACAGGAGACACAAGUGUAACACAAGCAAUGGAACAUGGCCACACUGUGGAAUUUCAGUAGAGGAAUAUAGCAAAUUAUCCACCUGAGUAUGUUUUACUUUGCAGACCAGUUUUAUAGAAGUAGGUUAUCUUUUAUUAAGGUCAAAUACAUUUCUUAAGGGACACAUGCCUUGUCCCACCUCUAUAUCCUUAAAGGAAUGGGCAUACGAUAAGCAUGACUUAGCAUUUCAGUAGCACUGUGCUCAUACUGGCGGCUGCCCAAUUAGCCUGUCUAGUCACAUCCAUUUCCAAAGCACUACACAGAUAAUGUUUUUCAAAAAAGUGCUAGUUUUGCUAGUUUUUUAUUUUAAUUAAAGCUUUCAGAUACACACACCUGAACUUUAUUGAGAGUGUGCUGUACAGCAGAGUGUACAGCAUAUCAAAUGCUGUACUCAGAAUUCAGCAGCAGGUAUAUUUCUCCCUGACCCAGUACUGCAUGGCUCACUGCCAUGCAUGGUUCUAUGGCACUCUGCUUCUGAAAGCUUCAUUAUUAUUAUUCUUCAUACCAUGAAUUCCUAUGAUGUAGAACCUGGGAGUCACAUUUAUGGAACACGAUGCCACUGUAUACAACACUGCAGAAAACCAAGAAAUUCCAGACCAAAACACCUUGGAUUAAAAUAAAUAUUUCUGUAAGGCUAAUGUACUCAUUUACUGUGGUCAGCCUAACAAUUUUCUUAGUGACCGGCUCAAAGCUUCCAUUCAUACCCCUAAAUCUUAUGUUACAAAAUCAGCCUAUGCUGAAAGUAUAUAAAUCUUCCUUUUGCAAACUGUUUAUUAACAUGAUUAGUCCUGUUAGUAGGAUCUAUUAUUAAUGAGUAUUGUGUUGAAAAGCCAGUUCCCUAACAGACCUUCUACUGGACAUGAUUGUUUAAAGUCUAGAAAUGAGAGCAAAAAGGCUGUUUUUUUAUUCAGCAUGAAAUCAUCUUCAUUUGUGUUCCUGGAAAAGGAGUAAAAUGCUGGAGACUGACCAUCUCUGCUGCCAGGCUUCCAUAAAGUGCUAUCUUUAUAUGCUGACCUGCAGAAAUGUAUUACAGAAAAAUAUUUCUGCUUUCAUUGCUGCAUUUACUGUAAAUUUGCAUUCUUCCAGGAAAAUUCUGACAGAUAAAUUUAACAUUGCAGAUCUGACUUCAAGCAAAUCUCUUAGCUAUUAGUGGUUCCAUGAAUCUUUUUCUGAAAGAAGAACGCAGCUGAAUUUGAUGCCAGGGCUGCAGACACAGAAACAGAGAGCAAUGCAAAAUCCUGUAAAAACACGGAAAAGAUUUCCCUCCCAUAACAUCCAGAAGGUAUCACUUUGCAAUCUUUAUUAGGCAGUCCCUGCUCCUGAGCUCACCACAGAAGCAGUGCCCAAGACGUUCCUUCCCUACCACGGCUCCUAUUUCCAUUAGUCAUAGUGCCAUCACUCACACUGGGUGCCAACAGCACUUCGUCUUCUCUGCAAAGCUUAACUGUGUGUUACCGGAUUUACUCAAUUCUGACCAAUAAGCAGUAUCUCAAUUAUCCUGUAUUUUGUUACAUACCAUAAACAUUCCAUUAAAAAUAGCCCAAAUUCUUUGUUAUUAUUUAGCGAUGAAGGCCCAGGUUUCGUUGCCAGGCACAGGCUAAAUGGCACAGUCGAUAGGACCCUUCAGAACAUUUCCCGAAAAAACAUGCUAUUUACAGACAUUAAAAGUUAAACCAAACAUUCUUAGCAAACCAUUCAUUUAUUUUCUAUUGUCUGUUUUAUCCCAUUUCCUUAUUAUCAAGCCUUUGUCUCCUGUGCAAGUCUAUCUUGCCAUACCAAAGAGGAAGCACUGUUGAGAAUGCCCAUCUCCACACAGAUAAGGAAGCAGAUUUACAUCCAAGGAACAAUUAACACACAUGAAAAGUCACCAUGUUUUGAAUAGGGCAGAAUAGCCAGUAACUUUGAAGUGUGAGGUCUGGUAGAUUGAAGCUAAUGUUUAAAAUGGAGAAAGCAUCUUGUAUCACCAUCCUAUCCACUCAUAUACUACUGAUAAUUGUGCUUAGAUUUAGAGAAAAUCCUUUUUCACUGGCUUUCAAAUAGCCACUGAAUAAGUGACAUCAGUAGUACAAUAUGGAUUUCAUAAUAACACACUGACAGUAAAAAAAAGGCUGUCAAGCACAUUCCUGAAAGUGCAUUGCUAUUUUCCUAACUUGACUGCUGCACUGUCUCUUAUAUUCCUUCCCUUCUAAAAGUCUUAGACCUGAAAGCUCAAAAUGCUGCUUAUUCGCUGGUUUUCAUGUAACGACUAUACUGAUGAGUCAGAAACAUUGUUACUAACAUCUCAUUUAGUUUCACCUGCUGAAAAUGGAAAACAGCCAAAAUAAAAAAGCAAUUGGAAGAAUAUUGAUGAGCAAUAAACUUCUCUUAUUUCACUACAAAAUUCUUGAAAUUCCAUCCUUCCGAUUGCUCACAAACCCAGAUGAGUACACACACACAAUGACACACAAGUUCAGCCUCUGUUUACAUGCUUGCAGAUGAGUUCAGUACUACAUGAUCUUUAUCAGUGUUACUACAAAAUGCCUUUACAGACAUGUCUAUGACACUUCAUAGAAUCACGGAAUCAUAGAAUCACUCAGGUUGGAAAAGACCUCAAAGAUCAUCGAGUCCAACCACAACCUAAACAUAGUACCCUAACUAACAACCCUCUGCUAAAUCAUGUCCCCGAACACCACAUCCAAACAGUUUUUAAACACAUCCAGGGAUGGUGACUCAACCACUGCCCUGGGGAGCCCAUUCCAGUGCUUAACAACCCUUUCUGUAAAGAAGUUCUUCCUGAUGUCCAACCUAAACUUCCCCUGGCGCAACUUGAGGCCAUUUCCCCUCAUUCUGUCACCUGUCAGCAGUGAGAAGAGACCAACCCCACUCUCACUGUAAGCACCUUUUGGGUAUUUGAAGAGAGCAAUAAGGUCUCCCCUCAGCCUCCUUUUCCCCAGACUACACAGCCCCAGUUUUCUCAGCCUCUCCUCAUAGGGCAUAGUCUUCAAGCGCUUCACCCCUUCACAAGCCUUGUUGCCCUUCUUUGGACCUGCUCCAACACCUCAAUGUCCUUUGCCCAAAACUGAACACAGUACUCGAGGUGAGGCCUCACCAGUGCCGAGUACAGGGGCAGGAUUACUUCCCUACUCCUGCUCACCACACCACUCCUGAUACAAGCCAGGAUGCCACUGGCCUUCCUGGCCACCUGAGCACACUGUUGGCUCACAUUCAGCUGACUGUCCAUCAGUACACCGAGGUCCCUUUCCAUCAAGCAGCUUUCCAGCUACUCAUUCCCAAGCAUGUAGGGUAGCCUGGGGUUGUUGAGUCCAAAAUGGAGGACCCGACAAUUGGCCCUAUUGAAACUCACACAGUCUGUCUUCACCCAUCGAUGCAGUCUACCCAGGUCCCUUUGUUGUGCCCUUCUCCCCUCAGGAAGAUCAACACUCCCUCCCAGCUUGGUGUCGUCCACAAACUUCAGAAGCAGUUGAAAUGGAUUUGGGGUUGCCAGCAGGUUUAUCUUUUUUACCACCAAAUAACAGAGCAGACAGUAUACCCUUGGUAUUUUUCACAGUCUGACAUUUUUUUCAAAAGUACCAAUUUGUAAAGCGAAGAUAUAAACCAGAUUCAUCUGACUUUUUCAUCCCUCUAAAACAACUGCACUCUUUCCUUGGGGUAUACCUGAAAGCUUGAAAUUGAAAUAACGCAUAUCUCACAGGGAAACACAAAUUGUAUGAUAAAAUACACCCAAAAUAUCUCUGGGUAUCCUCACUUUAAUAUAAUUCUUGUACAUAGAAAAUGAAAAUCUUUCACCUUCCCUCACCUGUCUUCAAUAAUAAAUGCUGCGCACACAUCAAUAUCAGUAUAUCAUGUAUUGCUUCAGGUACACCACUCAGAUGAAUACAUAUUUCUCACUCUAAGUAGAGAACUGACUUCAGAGAAAACAAAAAAUCCAGCUCUUACACUCUGCAGUUUAGGGGACAUUGUUAGUAAGUGGAGGUUGGACAGAAGCAGGGCCUGACGGGAUUCCACACAGGCACAGUGCAAACCGGGCCCUGGUGACUCCGCAUGCCCAGCUCCAGGCAGACCUGGCUGCUGCACGUUGACCAGCUCUGCGCUGAGCGAGCAGCCAGAUGUGUGUCAGCCCCACUUCUGGCUCCCACUUCCUGUGUUUCAAAAAAGUUUCAUUCAUCUCUAAUGAGUAGAGACUGAAACUGACAAAAUAUUUCACAUUUCCAAUGCCUCAUAAAACUUCAAACUUCUUACAAACUGCUUUCAAUUUCACUCAGUAUUUUCCUGUAUUUUUAUCAUUCUACAUCAAACACUAUGAUUCAUCCUCCACUUCAAUGACAAAUAGAAGCUUAAGGGGAAGAUAACAUCUUUUCCUGUGAAAGUAUCUGUUAUUUCCUGUCCUGAAUAACAAGGUUUCUAAAGAUUAAAUGAACUUUUGGAAAAAGCACAGCAAGUUCAUAAAAAGCCCUUAAUCUGAAUGCUAUAGGAAGCCAAAUUACAAAGUUUUUUUUCCACAUUUCAGACAUACUGAAUUAGAUACAAACAAUAUCAUUCAUAAUGCGCCUAUUUUCACAUCGGAGAAAAUGACAGAUACUAAAGGCAAAUGUCCCAACUCAGACAAAUCAAAAUACCAAAUACUGUACCAUUUAAUGAGCCAAUUGGUUUCAGAGGUGUGGGACAACCUGUAGCUUGUUCUGCCUACCAAGAUGCAGGUUUCUUCUGUCUAAAACCGAUGCUGUUCAUUAUGCUGUAAACAAGAGAAAGAAGAGCCUGAAGAGGUCAGUAGGAGAAGCAAGCAUUAUCAAGGCUGAUGGGAAAGUUAAAAGAAUUUUCUCCCACCAUCUUGUUUAAGAUCUAACUGUUCUAAUAACAGGACUGAAAUCAAGUUUAGUCAUUUUGUUCUUGACAUGAAACCCUACGAUUUCAUCUUUAUAAAGAUGCUUCAAACAGAAAAGAAAGUAGCUGCCAAAAGACAAUUCUGAAAGAUCCCCAUGAGGGGGAAAAAGCCCACCUGUCCAAUCUCUUGGCAUUUAUUAUCAAAACUCCUGACAAGAAAUGAACUAAUUGUUCCAUUAUAUUGCAUAAGUUUCUAAUACAAAUCCAUAAAUAUUAAUUCACGUAAGAAACUUCUUGGCAGCUAUUUUGAGUUAAGGACAACUGAUUUAUUUCCAGAUCAACGGCACAGUUUUCUAGGUAACCAUAUUUAAAAAUCAUAACUUUCCUCAAAAGUGCUCCUAAAUGUUAUCAUUGUGAGUAGAUCACCUAUCAAGUUAAGAAAGAUAGGAAAAGGUAGAUUUAUUCAGAACAACCUAGAAAGAAAUAUGGAAAGAUUUUAUUCAAAGUUCUUAAUUAUCUUGCAACAACACUGGUUGUUAGAAUACAGAGACAAAAGUACUCCUGCAGGCAGCACUAGAUGGUUUUUGCUUCCCAAAAUUUAGUACAUCUACAGAAACGUAAGUGUAAGUGAUCACAGAACGUAUGGGUCUCAACUAUGAUUAAUCUACAGCAGCAAUUACAAGGAAGUUCACAUUGCUUAUUAUUUUUGACCCUGUUUCUCUUUUUUCUGCUCUUCUUAGAAAUGUCAUUUUAAAAUUACAUCUCUGUGUGAAAGCACUGAACUUGUACUGUGUUCUCCUAUCUUUAUUCUUUCCCACAGUGCACCAGUUUUUAUUUCUGAUGAGUACUUAAAUCAUGUUUCUGUUUGCUCUAUCAACCACUUUCUCUGGCUGUAAGCACAGUGAAACCUCUGAUCCUCACAGGGAGUAACCAUUGAACCUGUCAGGGUUAAUGGUAUUAUGGGUUGCAGGUUUUACUCCACACUCUCCAAAAGGCAGGAGGAGAGUCCUGUAGCCUGACCUCCAUAGCUGUGCUGCUUGCCAGAGAGGGUAGGAGGAGGAAUGGCUAAGGGAGCCAGGCACGCUUCUUUGUUUUCAGUAAACAUUGCCUGGAAAAUGGGCCUGCAUUAUAGCACAGAUUACAGACCAAGAUAGAUAGCGGUUGGCUGUGCUAGAGAAGCUCUCUGAGAGGAAUGACAGAGUUGGCCUCAGGAGGAACGUGCCAGAGAAUCAAGCAGCAGUUGGUGCACACCGGUCUUGGUGUGGUAGCUGAAGGGUGUAGCAAGAAUAGACAAAUUAAUUACAUCCUCUGCUACCACUCCAACUGUGCUUAUUGCUUUUCUGCACAGCUGAGAAUGCAUCAAAGGCUCAGUCUUUGUAUUGUCAGCUACCCCCUAAAAAUGAUUUUCGAGGGCAUAUACGCUAUUGUAACUGCAUCUCAUUAACCAAGGCACUGUUUGUGGUGCCUUUGAAAGCAGUUUCCAGCUGUUUGGUAUUCCAUGGUAGUGUGGCUGCACUGUUGGAACAAGCUAGUUCAAAGACAGAUGGAGAAGUCUGCACUAAUUUCAGCACAUAAUACUUCCUUUCUCCAGAUGGAAACAGCCUGACCCAAACCAAUUUGGAUUCAAAGAGCAGUGUGAAAUGCAUUCCUAGGGAAGCCACUGAAAUGGUAGAGCAGGUUUGAAACUCUUUUACUGAGGAGAUGACCCAGUCUAAAUGGAGGCAGAGGGAUGGCGACACUGCAGGUGCAGGACAUGUCCUGUAUGGUAUGUCCUUUUGGGGGAGUACGGUCUGAGUGCCUGGAUCAAUUUUUGUCCCAAACCUACAUUUCCCUUGUGGAAGGAAGGAAGGAAGGAAGGAAGGAAGGAAGGAAGGAAGGAAGGCAGGAAGGCAGGAAGGCAGGAAGGCAGGAAGGCAGGAAGGCAGGCAGGCAGGAAGGCAGGAAGGCAGGCAGGAAGGCAGGAAGGCAGGCAGGAAGGCAGGCAGGCAGGAAGGCAGGAAGGCAGGAAGGCAGGCAGGCAGGCAGGCAGGCAGGCAGGCAGGCAGGCAGGCAGGCAG